AUGGUGGGGCUAUUGCUUCUUCCUUGA
rnacentral:tRNA from 1 species